rnacentral:ncRNA from 3 species
GGAUGCGAUCAUACCAGCACUAACGCACCG